GACCAGACUCCUACGGGAGGCAGCAGUGGGGAAUAUUGCACAAUGGGGGGAACCCUGAUGCAGCGACGCCGCGUGGGUGAAGGAGCACCUCGGUGCGUAAAGCCCUAUCGGCAGGGAAGAAAAGCGAACAGGUUCGCCUGGACGGUACCUGACUAAGAAGCCCCGGCUAACUACGUGCCAGCAGCCGCGGUAAUACGUAGGGGGCAAGCGUUAUCCGGAUUCACUGGGUGUAAAGGGAGCGUAGACGGCGACGCAAGUCUGGAGUGAAAGCCCGGGGCCCAACCCCGGGACUGCUCUGGAAACUGCGUCGCUGGAGUACGGGAGGGGCAGGCGGAAUUCCUGGUGUAGCGGUGAAAUGCGUAGAUAUAAGGAAGAACACCAGUGGCGAAGGCGGAUGACUGGACGGCAACUGACGGUGAGGCGCGAAAGCGUGGGGAGCAAACAGGAUUAGAUACCCGAGUACG
rnacentral:rRNA from 1 species